rnacentral:rRNA from 1 species
AGAGUUUGAUCAUGGCUCAGGAUGAACGCUGGCGGCGUGCUUAACACAUGCAAGUCGAACGCUCGCAAGAGAGUGGCGCACGGGUGAGGAACACGUAGCUAACCUGCCUUCGGGUCUGGGAUAACGUUCCGAAAGGAACGCUAAGACCGGAUAAGCUCACAAGUUGUAGAGACUGGUGAGAAAAGGGGUAAGACGCCGGAAGAGGGGGCUGCGGCGCAUCAGGUAGUUGGUGAGGUAAAGGCUCACCAAGCCAACGACGCGUAGGGGGUCUGAGAGGAUGAUCCCCCACACUGGGACUGAGACACGGCCCAGACUCCUACGGGAGGCAGCAGUGAGGAAUAUUGCACAAUGGGGGCAACCCUGAUGCAGCGACGCCGCGUGGGUGAUGAAGGCCUUCGGGUCGUAAAGCCCUUUUGCCACUGACGAGAGAGGACGGUAGGUGGCGAAUAAGCCUCGGCUAACUACGUGCCAGCAGCCGCGGUAAUUC